rnacentral:rRNA from 1 species
UCAUACGGCCAUGCCACCCUGAACAAGCCCGAUCCUGUCUGAUCUCGGAAGCUAAGCCACAUCGGGCCUGGUUAGUACUUGGAUGGGAGACCACCUAGGAAGACCAGGUGCUGUAGGCA